AUGGCGAGCGCCAAGGCGACGAUGGGGCAGGAGAAGCAAGACCACUUCGUUCUCAAGAGCGGGCAUGCCAUGCCGGCCGUCGGGUUGGGCACCUGGAGGGCUGGCUCGGAUACUGCUCACUCCGUUCAGACGGCCAUCACCGAGGCUGGAUACAGGCAUGUGGACACAGCUGCUGAAUACGGAGUAGAAAAGGAGGUCGGCAAAGGGCUUAGAGCUGCCAUGGAAGCUGGAAUCGACAGGAAAGAUUUGUUUGUCACGUCAAAAUUAUGGUGCACGAACUUGGUCCCUGAGAGGGUGCGGCCAGCAUUAGAGAGCACGCUCAAGGAUCUACAGUUGGACUACAUCGACCUUUACCAUAUUCAUUGGCCGUUCCGGCUGAAAGAUGGGGCACACAAGCCUCCGGAAGCAGGGGAGGUGCUGGAAUUCGACAUGGAGGGGGUGUGGAAGGAGAUGGAGAACCUUGUCAAGGACGGACUGGUUAAGGACAUCGGCGUCUGCAACUACACCGUGACCAAGCUCGACCGGCUGCUACGGUCUGCAAAGAUUCCACCGGCCGUUUGCCAGAUGGAGAUGCACCCUGGUUGGAAGAACGACAAGAUGUUCGAGGCCUGCAAGAAGCGCGGGAUCCAUGUCACCGCUUACUCACCAUUGGGUUCUUCAGAGAAGAACCUUGCUCAUGACCCGGUUGUCGAAAAGGUGGCCAACAAGCUGAACAAGACCCCGGGGCAGGUGCUCAUCAGGUGGGCUCUGCAGAGGGGGACGAGUGUGAUUCCCAAGUCAAGCAAAGACGAGAGGAUCAAGGAGAACAUCCAGGUGUUCGGGUGGGAGAUCCCUGAGGAGGACUUCAAGGUCCUGUGCAGCAUCAAAGAUGAGAAGCGUGUGCUGACCGGAGAGGAGCUGUUCGUGAACAAGACCCAUGGGCCGUACAAGAGUGCAUCUGAAGUCUGGGAUCACGAGAACUGA
rnacentral:rRNA from 1 species